rnacentral:lncRNA from 1 species
CAAACCAUUGGAUAGUCUCUAAGUCUCUUAGUUCAUUUAGAUCUACGUAUUUUCCCUUAUUGAUACAUCUAAGUUCGAAAGAGGGAAAUUUUUCAGCAUGGUUUUUUGAAUCGAAAAGAGUGGAAUCAAAUUCUUCUACUAAUCUCCUCUUUCCCUUGUCCCUUGAGGAUCUUCUAGAUCCCAUAACUACUGCUGUUUAGAGGGAUGAUGAUGAGCAAGAGUAAAUGAAGAACAAAAUAGAAUUUAAGGGCUUCUUAGAGAGUACCUUUGUGAAAUCUUCAAGAGAAGGAAGGAUUCUUGAUGUUUUGCUCCGAAAUGGGAGGUAUUUGGAAGGCUUAGAGGAGUGAAAUGAGAAUGGAGGAGACUUGGAAGAGUAGAGGAGGAAAUGGGAGUGAGUUGGGGUCGGUUCCACCGCCGGCCCUAGCGUGGGUUUAAAAAGGCAGAGUUGCGGGCGGUUGCACCUCUGGCUGGAGCGGUGCAACCUCUGGCAACCCGUGGUAGCUGGAGGUGCCACCGCCAGCUGGAGAGGUGCCACCGCCUACAGCCAGUGAGCACCUAAUGUGAUUUGAUCAGGGAGCCUUUGCCUUGAGGAGAGUUUUUCAUUUCAGAGCAAUUAAUGUUUAUUAAGAUGGAUCUUUUAACGUGUAUAUGUCUUACAUAUGUUGAUAGUUUGUUUGGUAUCCCUUUUAAGAUCAUGACAUAUUUAGUUUCUUCAUGAUACAAGAAUUAAUUCGUAGAUGAUAGUGUUGACGGGUUCGAAGAUCAAGGGGAUAUGUGAAUUUGGAUAUCAUAUGUUUCUAAUAAGGUUGUAUCCAAAUCGUAUUUGUGGUUUCAUAACUU